rnacentral:tRNA from 3 species
GCCGCCCUAGCUCAGCGGUAGAGCAACGGAUUUGUAAUCCGUAGGUCGGGGGUUCGAACCCCCCGGGCGGCUCCA